UUAAAUGGCUGCAGUAAUUUGACUGUACAAAGGUAGCAUAAUCAUUAGUUUUUUAAUUUAAAGCUUGAAUGAAAGGUUGGACGAAGUAAAAUCUGUCUCUUUAUAAUAAAAUUAGAAUUUAAUUUUUAAGUUAAAAAGCUUAAAUUUUUAUAAAAGACGAGAAGACCCUAUAGAGUUUAAUAAUUUUUUAGAAAUAAUUUAUUUAGAUUUUAUUAUUUUAAUUUUUUAAAAAUUAUUUUAUUGGGGUAAUAAUAAGAUUAAGAUAAUUCUUUUUUUUUAACCAUUAAUUUAUGAAAUAAAUGAUCCAUUUUUUAUGAUAUAAG
rnacentral:rRNA from 1 species